UAUUCUCGUUUAACCGUUCUUUGUCCAUC
rnacentral:sRNA from 1 species